GUGUGCCUAAUACAUGCAAGUAGAACGCUGAAGAGAGGAGCUUGCUCUUCUUGGAUGAGUUGCGAACGGGUGAGUAACGCGUAGGUAACCUGCCUUGUAGCGGGGGAUAACUAUUGGAAACGAUAGCUAAUACCGCAUAACAAUGGAUGACACAUGUCAUCUAUUUGAAAGGGGCAAUUGCUCCACUACAAGAUGGACCUGCGUUGUAUUAGCUAGUAGGUGAGGUAACGGCUCACCUAGGCGACGAUACAUAGCCGACCUGAGAGGGUGAUCGGCCACACUGGGACUGAGACACGGCCCAGACUCCUACGGGAGGCAGCAGUAGGGAAUCUUCGGCAAUGGACGGAAGUCUGACCGAGCAACGCCGCGUGAGUGAAGAAGGUUUUCGGAUCGUAAAGCUCUGUUGUAGGAGAAGAACGAGUGUGAGAGUGAAAAGUUCACACUGUGACGGUAUCUUACCAGAAAGGGACGGCUAACUACGUGC
rnacentral:rRNA from 1 species